rnacentral:rRNA from 1 species
GACAGAGGUUGCAAACGUUGUUCGGAAUUACUGGGCAUAAAGCGCACGUAGGUGGUCCGCUAAGUCGUGUGUGAAAUACCCCGGCUCAACCGGGGAAUUGCGCACGAUACUGGCGGGCUCGAGGUCGGGAGGGGUGAGUGGAACUCCUGGUGGAGCGGUGAAAUGCGCAGAUAUUGGGAAGAACACCAGUGGCGAAGGCGGUUCUCUGGGACGGUACUGACGCUGAGACGCGAAAGCGUGGGGAGCGAACAGG